UGCACUUGAGGAGGAUUUUACGAGAAAGGCUUCCUGGUACCCUUGAGUUUGGAUUCACAGCUUUAAAGUUUUGACUUAUUUGAGAAUAAUUAGUUGUACAUUAGCAUACCAGCAUUACAGACUGUUCACUGUUCUUUACUAGUCAACUAUUAUCAGAUUCAACAGUUGUGGGAAACAUUUAGGUACAAGAAACAGGACAGGGAAUAUGCAAAAUUCACACAUUGGUAGUAAGAAAAUAGAUAAUUAGAAAUGGGAUUAUAAUGUUAUAGAGCAUAAGACAAAAUCAUGAGAACUAACAAACAUCAUUGGGUAUGUUCACCACAUGUGCAGUAAAAUUUGCAUGUUUCAAAGAAUGAAAGGUGUUGUGAAUGAGAUCUAACUAAUCCUGCAUGUAUUUCUUUGCUUUUAUAACAUAGAUACCUGUCUUAAUUUUCUUUGGCUGUGAAGAGAUACCAUGGCCAAAGAAACUUAUUAAAGAAAGUGGGGGUCUUAUUUCCAGUUUCAGAGGGUGAGCACAUGACUGUCAUGGUGGGGAGUGUAGCAGAAAUCUCAUCCACAGGCAGUAACAGAGAGAAAAGGACUGAGCCUAGUGUGGGCUUUUGAAACUUCAAAGCCCAACCCCAGUGACACACCUCAUCCAACAAGGCCACACCUCCUAAUCCUUCCUAGAAAACCAGCCAGAAAGCAAACACUCAAAUGUACAACUGUGGGGUCUGUUCUCAUACAAACCCUAUCCUACUCAUCUUUCCAUGUGUUGCUUAUUUCAAACCCAAAUGUUUUACCAAGAAAUCGGUUGGGGUGAAAAACCAUUGAUAAAUGCUAAUUCCUUUAUCCAAAUGAUACCUUGAUUUUUGCUAUUUGUUACCUAUAAAUGAGAAGCAUUAAUGCUCUGUCAUCAAGAAUCAAGACCUAAGGCAAAAAGGAUGAUGAUUUUUUAAACUCCAAAAUGAUAUAGUUACUUAAAAUCAUUUAUAUGAUCACUAUUACAGAUGGUGUUUUACACUAUUUUAGAUAUGAAAAUAAUGGCUCAAUCACAUUUUUUUCUUAGCCUGGCAACAUUCCUCUCUUCUCUAUGCCUGUGGUAGCCCCUUCCUUCUAUGCUUUAAUUUCUAUUUAGUACUAAUUUAGUGCCAGUUCUGUUUUUCAGAAUCCAUAAACCUCAUAUAACAUUAGAAUAGCCUUCAUUCCUAAGAUGACCUAGGAAUCUAGCCAAAAAUUUGCUAAGGCCCCUAAAUGCAAUAGCUCUUACGUGUCCUGUGCACAGGUAAGCAAAAUCAUUUCUUGCUAUUUUGUCUUAUGUAAAUGAAGACAAAGUGAGCAUGAAUUUCUUCCAGAUUUGUAAAUAAUCCCUUUUCUGUCUACUGUAGAGAGUAUUUACCUGCCUACUGAAGAAUGUGUUCCCCAAAGCAAAUAUCACCUGGUUAAUAGAUGGAAGACUUCUUCAAGGCAAUGAAGAAGGAGUACGCAUUACAAAUGAAGAGAAAAAUGGAAGUAGUGGAUUUCAGGAACUGAAGGUAGUUUUAACAACGAUGUCCACUAGACCAUCCCAAUCAAACAACAUGACAGUAUGGUGUAUGGCUCUUUCACUAGGCCCAGGAAAUAAAGUGUGGAAUACUUCAUCACAA